rnacentral:rRNA from 1 species
UGGGGAAUAUUGGACAAUGGGCGAAAGCCUGAUCCAGCGACGCCGCGUGAGUGACGAAGGCCUUAGGGUUGUAAAGCUCUUUUGGCGGGGACGAUAAUGACGGUACCCGCAGAAUAAGCCCCGGCUAACUUCGUGCCAGCAGCCGCGGUAAUACGAAGGGGGCUAGCGUUGUUCGGAAUCACUGGGCGUAAAGCGCACGUAGGCGGAUUUGUAAGUCAGGGGUGAAAUCCCGGGGCUCAACCUCGGAACUGCCUUUGAUACUGCAAGUCUCGAGUUCGGGAGAGGUGAGUGGAAUUCCUAGUGUAGAGGUGAAAUUCGUAGAUAUUAGGAAGAACACCAGUGGCGAAGGCGGCUCACUGGCCCGAUACUGACGCUGAGGUGCGAAAGCGUGGGGAGCAAAACAGGAUUAGAUACCCCCGUAGUCCCUGAGCGGGCUGGCAAGGCGCAU